UGUUUCUGCUUACCAGGCCCUCGGUGCAGCAAAAGUGCUGUAGAGGACACUUUGACAAAGAACAGAAUAGGCAAACUAAGAACUGCCUCAGGCUGAAGACCCCUAAGUGUCAUGUGUACCUGCACCCGGGUAGCAUGACAAGCUCUGUGGCUUGGUGAGAAGGAUUUGGCUCUCUCUGGCAAACUGGCUGUCCCCUCGCCCUGUUGCCUGGCACACAGCAGAUGGUCUGAUGUGAACAUGCAAGUGGAGAUCGUGAAGACAUGCAGGAAAGACUCAAGUUCAUGAGUCUUCAUCAGUGGGAAUUGCAGAAACGAUUGAAAUUAGAUAUCUCUUGGAGGGCCACUUACCGGGCUAAUGUUCUGAGGAGAUCAUCUGCAGCUCUGUGUUGAAGCAGCUGGAGCAUCUCUCUGGAAGAGGCACUUCAGUAUGACCUGGGUCUGGUUCUAAGCAUCUACAUAGUAGCUUGCAGUUUGCAUCCAUUCAUCCUCCAGUUCCAGGGCAUCUAACACCCUCUUCAGAACGCCAAAGGAUGCCAAACACACAAGUGCAUGAAAACACUCAUACACAUUAACAUUAAAGAAAAAUGACAACGACGGUGAUGAUGACGACGACAAAGAUAAGGAGAGGAAGAAGAGGGAGGAUAAGAGGAGGAAGGAGCAGGAGGAGAACUGAU
rnacentral:lncRNA from 1 species